rnacentral:rRNA from 1 species
GAUGAACGCUGGCGGCGUGCCUAAUACAUGCAAGUCGAGCGAAUGGAUUAAGAGCUUGCUCUUAUGAAGUUAGCGGCGGACGGGUGAGUAACACGUGGGUAACCUGCCCAUAAGACUGGGAUAACUCCGGGAAACCGGGGCUAAUACCGGAUAACAUUUUGAACCGCAUGGGUCGAAAUUGAAAGGCGGCUUCGGCUGUCACUUAUGGAUGGACCCGCGUCGCAUUAGCUAGUUGGUGAGGUAACGGCUCACCAAGGCAACGAUGCGUAGCCGACCUGAGAGGGUGAUCGGCCACACUGGGACUGAGACACGGCCCAGACUCCUACGGGAGGCAGCAGUAGGGAAUCUUCCGCAAUGGACGAAAGUCUGACGGAGCAACGCCGCGUGAGUGAUGAAGGCUUUCGGGUCGUAAAACUCUGUUGUUAGGGAAGAACAAGUGCUAGUUGAAUAAGCUGACACCUUGACGGUACCUAACCAGAAAGCCACGGCUAACCACGUGCCAGCCGCCGCAGUAA